UAUAUAUAUAUAUAAAUAAUUAAGAAAUGGAUGAAAACCAAAACAUUACAUAAAGGAAGGGGAGAACUGAAGAACACAUAUACAUAGAACCAAAAACAAAAAGAACAUGGGUUCUGAAAAGCAAGGGUUUAUAUGGUUAUCAGCGCUUUUGUUUCUGAAUAUCUUUGUCUUAUCCACAGCCGAUGUCCACUAUUACGAGUUUUCUUUGCAAGAAUCCACGUUCACAAAGCUGUGUAGCACGAAGAUCAUCUUGACCGUCAAUGGCAGCUUUCCAGGGCCUGAGAUUCGGGUCCGCAGAGGGGACACAGUUGUUGUCAAUGUCCACAAUCAAGCAAACUAUGCUGUUUCCCUCGACUGGGAGGGCGUUGAGGAUACAAUUGAUGGUUCGAAUAAUACAAUUCAGCCAGGGAAAACUUCACUUACAAUAUAGAGUUAGGGGAUGAAAUAGGAACUCUGAGGUGGCACGCUACCAGUGCUUGGGCUGCUGCAACCGUCCACGGUGCCUUUGUCAUUUUUCCAGUAGCCAAUAAAGACUAUCCUUUCCCUGCACCUACUUCUGAUCAAACAAUUAUACUUGGGGAAUGGUUCAGGGAAGAGUUAACGGAAGCUAAUCAAACCAUAGCUCCUGGCUCAGCAGAUGCUUACACUAUCAAUGGCUAUCCAGGAGAAACAUAUGGAUGCAGCAACGAUACAACUUUUGAGAUGCAAGUAGAUUACCAGGGCCUUUACCUUGUUCGCGUGAUAAAUGCUGUUGCCAAUGAAACAAUGCUGUUUGACAUCGAAAGACACAGAUUGACGAUUGUCGGACAAAAUGGGACCUAUACCAAUCGUUCCUUUACAAGUUCUUUAACCCUAGCCCCAGGGCAAGUUAUUGACGUCUUGUUGAGUCCAAACCAAAAUGUUGGCCAUUAUUACAUCACUGCUCGAUCUUCCUCCGGCAGACAUAUUACCAAUGGAAUUCUGCGAUAUACCACCACUACCACUAGUUUUUAAUAUAGGUAAAUAGUUUCCGUUGCUAAGAAAUAAUAAUAAGGUUAAUGUUGAAAUAAGAGAUUAAAUAUAAUGUGUGUAUGUUCUUUUGUUGUGAUCGUUGUUGGUUGUUUGAACGAUGAGUUUUCAAUGUUGUAGUGGGAAGAUGUUGUUUAACUAAAA